GAUGAAGAACGUAGCGAAAUGCGAUAAGUAAUGUGAAUUGCAGAAUUCAGUGAAUCAUCGAAUCUUUGAACGCACAUUGCGCCCGCCAGCAUUCUGGCGGGCAUGCCUGUUCGAGCGUCAUUUCAACCCUCGAGCCCCCCCGGGGGCCUCGGUGUUGGGGGACGGCACACCAGCCGCCCCCGAAAUGCAGUGGCGACCCCGCCGCAGCCUCCCCUGCGUAGUAGCACACACCUCGCACCGGAGCGCGGAGGCGGUCACGCCGUAAAACGCCCAACUUUCUUAGAGUUGACCUCGGAUCAGGUAGGUAUACCCGCUGAACUUAAGCAUAUCAAUAAGCGGAGGA
rnacentral:misc_RNA from 1 species